GUGGGGAAUAUUGCACAAUGGGGGGAACCCUGAUGCAGCGACGCCGCGUGAGCGAAGAAGGUUUUCGAAUCGUAAAGCUCUGUCCUAUGAGAAGAUAAUGACGGUAUCAUAGGAGGAAGCCCCGGCUAAAUACGUGCCAGCAGCCGCGGUAAUACGUAUGGGGCGAGCGUUGUCCGGAAUUAUUGGGCGUAAAGGGUACGUAGGCGGUUUUUUAAGUCAGGUGUGAAAGCGUGAGGCUUAACCUCAUUAAGCACUUGAAACUGGAAGACUUGAGUGAAGGAGAGGAAAGUGGAAUUCCUAGUGUAGCGGUGAAAUGCGUAGAUAUUAGGAGGAAUACCGGUGGCGAAGGCGACUUUCUGGACUUUUACUGACGCUCAGGUACGAAAGCGUGGGGAGCAAACAGGA
rnacentral:rRNA from 1 species